AUGCGGUCACCUGUGUGGGCGCCACCUGUUGCUUCAGUGGCGGAGGGUACAAUUGGGCACCUGGCAGGCAGCCAUACCCCAACUGGGCCUACUACUGAUGACGUCAUAGCAUUCGGAGGGAUCUCGGACCGGAAGUCUGGAGACAUAUGGGUGAGUCACCGGAUUCAGGCUCAACCUGCUGAUGACCUGCAGUUGGGGCACGCCAUGCGGGCGGCCAAGCUUCGUGACAUCGAGGUCACUACAGGAGGAGUUUCGGGUCGACAUAUAACCAGGGAGCCAAGACCAAGGCUGCGAAAGCACUAG
rnacentral:rRNA from 1 species